AUACGUAGGUGGCAAGCGUUGUCCGGAAUUAUUGGGCGUAAAGCGCGCGCAGGUGGUUCCUUAAGUCUGAUGUGAAAGCCCCCGGCUCAACCGGGGAGGGUCAUUGGAAACUGGGGAACUUGAGUGCAGAAGAGGAUAGUGGAAUUCCAAGUGUAGCGGUGAAAUGCGUAGAGAUUUGGAGGAACACCAGUGGCGAAGGCGACGGUCUGGUCUGUAACUGACACUGAGGCGCGAAAGCGUGGGGAGCAAACAGGAUUAGAUACCCUGGUAGUCCACGCCGUAAACGAUGAGUGCUAAGUGUUGGGGGGUUUCCGCCCCUCAGUGCUGCAGCUAACGCAUUAAGCACUCCGCCUGGGGAGUACGGUCGCAAGGUUGAAACUUAAAGGAAUUGACGGGG
rnacentral:rRNA from 1 species